UCCCAUUAUUAUUGUUGUUUUAACAUACUUAUGCAUUACUGUUGUUGGUAGAGAUGCAUUGAUAGGACUAUUCCUCGUACCUCUAUGCUAGCUAUAAAUCUCAGGUAGUAUAGUUUACCCUCGCCAUUACCUUGGCACCAAAUUGCCAUCGAUUGUAGUUGAAUGCUAAGCUAUGGUAGUAUCGUGGGGGAAAUAACUACAUUAUGAUAUUGUUAUGCCGUUGGCUAUAUGAAAUGUUUUUGUUAGAUGUAAGGCAAAACAACUAAUUCAAUGAACCAUCCUGGGUGGGCUGCUUUAAGGAUUUUGAGAAUUAGCGGCGUCAGGUGCAUAUACUUGUUAGGUUUGUUAUAACCCUUUGGUGAACUUGCCAAUACAUUCAAUGUAUUGACCGUGGCUGCAUCGUUUAAUGAUGCAGGAAGCUCCGACGACGAGUAAGAUGUACGUUAUGCUUGUUUGGGUUACGGGCCUACAUUCCAACACGCUCUCACCGUGGUGUUGAUGUGCCCUUGUAUCUUUUGCUUUCCGUUGCUAAACAGUUGUUUGAUUUCCAGCUAACCCGUGAGGUUAUGCGAGUUGUAAGUACCUUUUAAAUUUAGGAUGAUUCGUUGUAAUAUUGACACCUUUGUUCUAUGAUAUUACAUCUUGAAACUGUGUGUGCUAGUGAGUUGAUCCAGGGACUAGCACUAAAGCACAGAGAUCGAACCCGUGUACGAGGGUGCUCACUUCAGUCGGGUUGACGCGCAGGGAUUUGAGGAUGGGGACUCGAGCGCGGAGAAAUCGCGAAGUCGUGCUCGACGUGGACUCGCGGGCGUGGCCGGAGAAUCCGGACGAGCAGUGGGGGAAGAACGGGCACGGUCCCACUGGUCAGUGACCCAGGCGCUCGGGAGUGCGGCGGGACCGGGUCGGCUCGGCCCGGUUCGGCCUUGGUUUUCUUUUUUUUUCUUCUUUUCCUUUUUUUCCCUUUUCUGUUGUGAACACCAAAAAUGACUCAAACCUCCAAAUCACUCCAAAUAAAUUGCUAAAAAUUUGUAAAAUCAUAUUUUCAUAUGAUCUAACUUUUGGGACAAGAAUUUCCUAAAAAUAAAAUAUUUAAAAAUACUUUUGACUAUAGAAUAUCAAAAUAAAUUGUUUUUUGAAAUAAUUUCAAAAGCCAACAUAUGGGAUAGCUAUAUAUAUGCAUUAAAUCCCUUUUUAUACCAAAACCCUCAUGGGUUAAAAUGCAAAUUAAUCAAAAGCAAGAACAAAGACCAAAUUCAAAUAAAAGCACUU
rnacentral:lncRNA from 1 species